rnacentral:rRNA from 1 species
GCUCAGAACGAACGCUGGCGGCGUGGAUAAGACAUGCAAGUCGAACGGGAUUUCAUUUGUAGCAAUACACGUGAAGUUCAGUGGCGUAAGGGUGCGUAACACGUGGGCAAUCUGCCGAGAUGUGGGGGAUAGCUCGCCGAAAGGCGAAUUAAUACCGCAUGUGGUUAGUGCUGGAUUCAGCGCGACACCAAAGCCGGGGUAACCUGGCGCAUCUUGAUGAGCCCGCGGCCUAUCAGCUAGUUGGUGAGGUAACGGCUCACCAAGGCUAUGACGGGUAGCUGGUCUGAGAGGACGACCAGCCACACUGGAACUGAGACACGGUCCAGACACCUACGGGUGGCAGCAGUCGAGAAUUUUUCUCAAUGGGGGAAACCCUGAAGGAGCGACGCCGCGUGGAGGAUGAAGGUCUUCGGAUUGUAAACUCCUGUCAUUUGGGAACAAUUGUUGGUCAUUAACUGUGAUCAGCUUGAUAGUACCAGAAGAGGAAGAGACGGCUAACUCUGUGCCAGCAGCCGCGGUAAUACAGAGGUCUCAAGCGUUGUUCGGAUUCAUUGGGCGUAAAGGGUGCGUAGGUGGCGAGGUUAGUCAGGUGUGAAAUCUCGGGGCUCAACCCCGAAACUGCACUUGAUACUGCCUUGCUAGAGUACUGGAGAGGAGAUUGGAAUUUACGGUGUAGCAGUGAAAUGCGUAGAUAUCGUAAGGAAGACCAGUGGCGAAGGCGAAUCUCUGGACAGUUACUGACACUGAGGCACGAAGGCCAGGGGAGCAAACGGGAUUAGAUACCCCGGUAGUCCUGGCAGUAAACGGUGCGCGUUUGGUGUGGGGGGAUUCGACCCCUUCUGUGCCGGAGCUAACGCGUUAAACGCGCCGCCUGGGGAG